CAGAGUUCAUGCCCUCACGGGUAGAUCUCCCACCCUUGAAUAUUAUACCUUAGUUGCCUUGGCAGGCCGGGGCAACCCCCGGGGCUUCGGCCUUGGUGUGCCUGCCAGAGGAAACAAACUCUGUUUUUAGUGAUGUCUGAGUACUAUAUAAUAGUUA
rnacentral:misc_RNA from 1 species